AUGUACGUCUAUGGGGUAUUCAGUCUGAAGGCCUAUACUAACUCCAGAGAGCUGAAACCUGCCAUAGACAAGAUCACACAGAAGGGAGGGAUGUCCAACGUGGGGAAGGCACUCUCCUAUAUCAACAAACAUUACUUCAGCGACGCCAACGGUAACCGGGGCGGAGCGCCCAACGUGGCUGUGGUUCUGGUAGACGGCUGGCCAACCGACAAGGUAGAGGAGGCAUCACGCCAGGCCAGAGAGUCUGGUAUCAACAUCUUCUUUGUGACCAUCGAGGGACCCGACGAGAACGAGAAGCAGAAUGUGGUGGAGCCGAACUUUGUGGACAAGGCGGUGUGUCGAACCAACGGUUUCUACUCCCUACCCGUGUCGAGCUGGUUCGCCUUGCGGAAGGCAGUCCAACCCCUCGUCAAGCGCGUGUGCGACACCGACCGUCUCGUCUGCAGCAAGACCUGCCUUAACGCAAACGACAUCGCCUUCGUCAUCGACGGAUCCAGCUCUGUGGGCACCGGGAACUUCCGGACCGUCCUGCAGUUCGUCGCUAACAUCACGCGGGAGUUUGAGAUAUCGGACACGGACACACGAGUCGGCGCAGUACAGUAUACGUACGAACAACGGCUGGAGUUUGCCUUCGGCCAACACAACAACAAGGCUGAUCUGCUUAAUGCCAUAAAGAGGAUUAAUUACUGGAGCGGCGGGACCAGUACUGGAGCAGCUAUCACCUACGCAGCAGAGCAGCUGUUCAGCAAGUCCAAACCCAACAAACGCAAGAUCAUGAUCGUUAUCACGGACGGGAGGAGCUACGAUGAUGUCAGAGCUCCAGCGUUGGCCGUCCAUCGCCAAGGUGUGAUAGCGUACUCCAUCGGCAUCGCCUGGGCAGCGCAGGACGAGCUGGAAUACAUCGCCACCGACCCCGACAAGGAGCACUCCUACUUCGUAGACGAGUUUGACAGCCUCUACAAGUUCGUCCCCAAGGUGGUCAAUAACAUCUGUCAGGAGUUCAACUCACAGCCACGCAACUGAGCUGAGCAGGGAGGGCACCUUAUUCCCUAUAUAGUGCACUACUUUUGAACAGGGCCCCUAGGGCCAUGCAGACCCACCUUGCUUACGUACACCUAUACUUAUAAAUCUGUGCUUACAUAUCAAGGAAACAAGGAAGGAAGGAAGGAAGAAUACGUUUGUAAAGUUUUGAAACAGGGGCUCAGGGGCUGUAGGGAGGGGGCUAGAUAUUUAUAUUAGGAUCCCCACAAGCUAAUUAGCAGCACUAUCAUGGAGACAGGACAGGGUCUCUACAAAAUGUAUUACCGGUAAGUUACCAAAAUUAAACAUUUUAAUAGUUGGUGCUGAAUGGGCAAUACUUUAAUUCCCAUGGAACAUUAAUACAAUUGGUUCACAACGAUUAAACUUUGGCCAUGUGAUCUCAACUGUUGUUGGUGUUCUAGUAACAGUCAGGGACGGGAGGGUGUUUAAUGUUCUCACUCCUAAUCAUGUAACAUAACUGAUGAAAAAGUUGAACCACCUGGACGUGGUGCUUACCAGGGUUGAGGUCAAUUCAAAUCUAAGGCCGUCAAUAGUAAAGUGAAAUUCCAAAUGUAAUCAUUUUUUUUAAAAGUGCUUUUAUUUUCCACUUCUUAAUAAACUGAAAAAGGAUAAACUAUUAAUUGGUAAA
rnacentral:lncRNA from 13 species